UACGUAGGGGGCUAGCGUUGUCCGGAUUUAUUGGGCGUAAAGAGCGUGUAGGCGGCCAGGUAGGUCUGGUGUGAAAACUCGAGGCUUAACCUCGAGAUGUCAUCGGAAACCAUCUGGCUAGAGUCCGGAAGAGGAGAGUGGAAUUCCUGGUGUAGCGGUGAAAUGCGCAGAUAUCAGGAAGAACACCCGUGGCGAAGGCGGCUCUCUGGAACGGUACUGACGCUGAGACGCGAAAGCGUGGGGAGCGAACAGG
rnacentral:rRNA from 1 species